ACUCAAAUGAAUAGACGGGGGCCCGCACAAGCGGUGGAGCAUGUGGAUUAAUUCGAUGCAACGCGAAGAACCUUACCAAGGCUUGACAUGGAAAUGAAACACCUAGAGAUAGGUGCCCCUACGGGCAUUUCACACAGGUGGUGCAUGGUUGUCGUCAGCUCGUGUCGUGAGAUGUUGGGUUAAGUCCCGCAACGAGCGCAACCCUUAUCUUUAGUUUCCAGCAUUUAAGGUGGGCACACUAGAGAGACUGCCGUGGAUAACACGGAGGAAGGUGGGGAUGAUGUCAAAUCAUCAUGCCCCUUACGCCUUGGGCUUCACACGUGCUACAAUGGUCUUUACAAAGUGAAGCAAGACAGUGAUGUGGAGCGAACCACAAAAAAAGACCUCAGUUCGGAUUGUAGGCUGCAACUCGCCUGCAUGAAGUUGGAAUCGCUAGUAAUCGCGAAUCAGCAUGUCGCGGUGAAUACGUUCCCGGGCCUUGUACACACCGCCCGU
rnacentral:rRNA from 1 species